UAGCUCAGUGGGUAGAGUAGUUGCCUAGCAUGCAAGAAGCCCUGGGUUUGAUCCCCAG
rnacentral:tRNA from 1 species